rnacentral:rRNA from 1 species
GUAGUUCGACUCCGUGCUACGAGGACGACGCUGGCGGCGUGCUUAACACAUGCAAGUCGAACGGAAAGGCCCUUCGGGGUACUCGAGUGGCGAACGGGUGAGUAACACGUGGGUGAUCUGCCCUGCACUUUGGGAUAAGCCUGGGAAACUGGGUCUAAUACCGAAUAGGACCACGCGCUUCAUGGUGUGUGGUGGAAAGCUUUUGCGGUGUGGGAUGGGCCCGCGGCCUAUCAGCUUGUUGGUGGGGUAAUGGCCUACCAAGGCGACGACGGGUAGCCGGCCUGAGAGGGUGACCGGCCACACUGGGACUGAGAUACGGCCCAGACUCCUACGGGAGGCAGCAGUGGGGAAUUUUCCGCAAUGGGCGAAAGCCUGACGGAGCAAUGCCGCGUGGAGGUGGAAGGCCUACGGGUCGUCAACUUCUUUUCUCGGAGAAGAAACAAUGACGGUAUCUGAGGAAUAAGCAUCGGCUAACUCUGUG